GACGAACGCUGGCGGCGUGCUUAACACAUGCAAGUCGAACGGAAAGGCCCUGCUUUUGUGGGGUGCUCGAGUGGCGAACGGGUGAGUAACACGUGAGUAACCUGCCCUUGACUUUGGGAUAACUUCAGGCAACUGGGGCUAAUACCGGAUAGGAGCUCCUGCUGCAUGGUGGGGGUUGGAAAGUUUCGGCGGUUGGGGAUGGACUCACGGCUUAUCAGCUUGUUGGUGGGGUAGUGGCUUACCAAGGCUUUGACGGGUAGCCGGCCUGAGAGGGUGACCGGCCACAUUGGGACUGAGAUACGGCCCAGACUCCUACGGGAGGCAGCAGUGGGGAAUAUUGCACAAUGGGCGGAAGCCUGAUGCAGCAACGCCGCGUGCGGGAUGACGGCCUUCGGGUUGUAAACCGCUUUCGCCUGUGACGAAGCGUGAGUGACGGUAAUGGGUAAAGAAGCACCGGCUAACUACGUG
rnacentral:rRNA from 1 species